CAGGGUCAAAAGUCCUAAAGCCUCAGGCCCUGGGAGAAAGGCCGCGGGGCCGGCCCGGGAGGGCAAGGUCUAACCUCUGCCCCUUCCUCUCACAGCAGAGCCCCCGUGGAGCAGGGCACCACCGUUCCACCCUAAAGAUCCCUGUCCUGGUGUUUCUUUUCCGCUUGGUGGCAGCAAAGGAGCAUCGAACAGCCUGCAGGCCGCGCCGCGAUGGGCCUUUCUGAAGGCCCAGAAACCUCCUGAGGUUCAGAGACAUCAGCAACAACAACAACAACAACAACAACAACAACAACAACGACGACGUUUUUGAGAGAGAGAGAGAGAGAGAGAGAGAAGAAAACCACAAGCCCCCAGAAUCUUCAUUUAAAAAUACAAAAGUAUUACUUAUCUGAGGCAGGUGAGACUGCUUCUCCACCCAUCAGCCCACCAUCCCAACGAGAAAAAGGUAAUUCUGUUUGCUGCUUUCUGUGGAUGAGGAUGAGCGCUGAUCCUUCUGUAUUCCUGGUGGUCAUUACAGCUGAAGUAAAGAGUUUGUCCGGAGCUCCUUCGUGAGUAUCUGCUGGAGCAGAGAACCCACUGUCAAGUCAGUGUUUGCAGUUUCACCGGGACUGUGUUCCAGACCUAGAGCUUGGGCUUCUCCAGAUGCUGUUCUGUUCACUCAACCAGUCAUUGUUUUUCUGUAAACAUUUACCCACGUAAGGUGGGCUCCCUUUCGGAGGCUAUUGCCUGAAGAUCACAAAAGAUGCUGUAAUACUAAUAAGGAGAUUAAAGAGGAGAAGAGAGUAAAGAAUGAACUAAAAAACACAAAGGAAUAGAAUGCAAUAGAAUGCAUAACCACUCCUCUUUCUCGGUAUUUACCCUGGAGCAUUUCCCUCAGAGAUCAUCCUAUAAUGUCAGCUCUGUUUACUCCUUGAGUAAAUGUCUGGUGUCACUUUAAUAAAUCAGAUGAACUCUUCUCA
rnacentral:lncRNA from 1 species